GCGGGUGGUGGUUCUCACCGCGGUUCCACCCGCUGCCUAUGAACAUCAUGAAGAAGAGAGGAAGAAGAUGGUUCCCGAAACUUGGCUUU